rnacentral:sRNA from 1 species
UCCGAGUGCAGUGGUAUUUCCAAAUUAUUGAUUACAACCGGUUACAGAAUCCUUUGUUCCUUCUCCACUCCCAUUGCUUCACUUGA